AGCUGCAGGAGAUCAAAGUCUUCCAGGAGAUGCAGCUGCUUCAGCUGUCUGCAGACAAUUAUCACCUUCAGCCUGUGGGGCAAUUUUGGGUCUGCCUCCAGUUAAUGGAGUGGCUCAGUAAGACUGAGAGUGGCAGGAGCAUCCCUGCGAGAGGCCUGACCCAGGUGUGUAGCCCAAGCAGCCAGCCCGGAAAUCCAAUGGGGUGUUCUUGGGGUGCAGAGGAUUUGUGACAGUCCAUACACAGAAAAAGGAAAAGGUGGCUUUGAAGAGGCAAGUGCAAAGAUACCAGAGAUGGGGUAUUGUCAUUUUAGGCAGUGAAUUGACGGUUUCACUUACCAGGGAGCUCCCAUCGUGAGCUCCCAAAAGGCCUAACAACUGCUAGGCCCACGGGUCAUUAGCUCCACCUUUACGGAGAAGCUGCACUAUGCAUGUCAGAAGCGGGGUAGGCAGGGAUGAGGGAAAGGACGGGAUAAGGAAAGAAAAGAUGUGCGCUGAGCUGAGCUGCGGGAGGGUAAACCUAACUACGUAACAAUGAGCAGGCUGUGAGAGGCUCCUUGCCCCUUGCAGAUUUGUGAAAAAUCAAACUUCCGCCCAAGAAGCCGGCAUUUCAGGUAGGGGCGAUGAUGUCACAAUCACAGGUUGAGAUCUGCUGCCCAGGCCAUGCUUGCUCCCCGCAGGCAGGCGAGAUUUCGGAACAGCCAGGACCUCCUCCGCAUGGGGGAACCGCUCUAGACGCUCAGAGGGGCGGAGUUGAAACGGACCUGACUGGCCAGUGUCUCAAAGACGUGGAUGGUGACCAGCUCUCUCCAGAACAGAUGGCGCUCCAGCUUUGUGGGAGAAACUUUCAAGUUGCAAGUUGGAUUUGUUACUCUCAUAUGUGGAUCUGGUUUCCAGGUGGUUUGGUGACUCUCAAACCAUGAUUCAGCAGACCUGUGAGGCUGUGAGUUCCCUAUCAGAACACAAUCUGCAGGUUGUAUUGUGCCAUAUAUCUGUGUCCAAAUUAUAAGCACAAUGAUGAAUCUUUUACUGGGAGUCAAGAUAUGUGCAGGAUGGUGAAACUUAUCACUGGACCUUUCCACAGUGUUAUUGUCACAUAUACCUUUGUCCAACAUAUGGAGUCUUGCUCUGUUGCCCAGGCUGGAAUGCAAUGAUGCAAUCUCAGCUCACUGCAACCUCCAUCUCCCAGAUUCAAGUGGUUCUCCUGCCUCAGCCUCCCAAGUAGUUGGGACUACAGGUGCUGCCUUCAGGAGGGAUUAUGACAUAUGCCUGGACCAAACACCUGGAUGACGUGACACUCCUGCAUGAGCCUUGCCCUAAGGGGAUAUUUUUACAUGUUGGUGAACUCAGCAUCUAGGUGAUGUGACUCUACUCUUCUGCCUGGGCCCUGCCCACAGAGGGCAUUGGAACAUUUCACUUGGCUCAGCACCAAGAAGAUGUUACUCUCCUACCUGGACCUCUCCCACAGGGGACACCUAGAUGAUAUGAUUUUUCUUCCUGGUUCCUGCCCAGACUUCAAAUUGUGAUGUAUAUCUGGGCCCAAAACACAGGGUCCAGGCAACAGAGGAGAGACACAUCACCUAUAUGAUUGGCCCAGCGAUGGGUGAAAAUCCUCUCUGAGAGCAGGGCCCAUUCAGGAGAGUCAUAUCACCUAGCUGCUUGGCCAAGUGAAAUAUCACAAUGCACCCUUUGCACAGGGCCAAUACAGGACAGUUACAUCACCAGGGAGCUGGGUCCAGCUAUAUGUCACAAUUCCUUUUGUGGAAAGUGUCCAGGCAGAAAAGCAGAGUCACAUCACCUAGCCAGUGGGCCCAGAGAGAUGCCACAAUGCCAUUUGUAGGCUGGGCCCUGGGAGAAGAAUAACAUCACCCAGUUCUGGGCCCAGCAAUAUGUUGUGAUCCCAACUGGAAAAAGUUUCCAGACAAGAGAGGAGAAUCACAUCAUCAUGAUGAUAAGCCAAGAGAUUUCACAAUCCCCCCCUCUGCACAUGUCCCAGGCAGAAGACCUGAAUUACCUUUUUACUUAGGCCAGUAAUGUCACAGUGCUUCCUCAGGGCAGGGCACAAACAAGAUAGGACAGUCACAUCAUUAAGUGCUAGACUUAAUGCUAGAUAUGUCAUAACCUUACUUGUGGGCAGGAUCCAGGAAGGAGAGAUUUAUGUCACCUAGGUGCUCAGUAAAGAGAUAUAUUACAAUUACAAUUCCUUUGAGGGAAGUGGCCAGGCAAAAUAGUCACAUCACCUAGGUGCUUGGCCCAGGUAUAAGUCACAAGAUAUCUGUGUGUUGAGCCCAGAAGGACUAUCAAAUUACGAAGUUUCUACGUAGAAGUGCAUGUCACAGACACCUGCAGGAAGGCCCAGGAAUGAGACUCCCAAUUCCACACAUUUUCCCACUCCAAGUGUAAGAGUCAACAACUCCUGAGACUUAGGCCCAAGUACAUGAGUCACAAUCUCAACAGUGGAUUGCAUCCUGCCAUGAGAGCCCCAAUCCCUUCUCUAAGCUGUGUUCCAGUAGAGGAGUCACAACAUCAAUGGUGUGCUGAAUCCUGGUUGGAGAGUUCCCACUUCACCUGUGGACUGGAUCUGUAUAUGAGAGUCUCAAUUCCAGCUCUCAACUGCCCCUGGGUGUGAGAUUCAGGACCUCAAUUGUGAGCUGUGUACACAUGGACAUGUAACAAUUUCUACUUUUGGCUGUGUGUUCAUACAAGACUCAAUCUCAUCUGUGUUCUCGGCCCUGUUAUGACACUCUUUGUACCACCCAUGGGAUUUAUUCAAUACGCAUGGGUGUCAUAAUCCUCUGUGAUCUUCAUACAAGUAGAAGACCCAGGACCUUACCCAUGGCCCUAGGCCUAUCUAUGAGAAUUGACAUUUUUCCUCACAUUUUUAAUUUUAACAAAUAAGUUAUUCUCCUGUCAGUUCAGAUUCAUCAGGACAUUGAAUCAUAUUCAGAAGAAUUAAAACUGAAAGACUAAUAGGUUUGUUAAAGCAAUGCAGGUUGUCAUACUAAUAAACCCUAAAAUUUCAAAGGCUUAGCAAAAUAAUACAUUUUCUGCUUACAUCACCAUCCCCUUUGGCUUAUUUCUGGUUAAGAGAACUUCUUUGUGAUUAUUCGGAGAUUAGAUUUUUUUAAAAUUUCCUAUCUGCACUCUCUCUUUCUUCAGCCAAUAGAUGAAAAAAGAUGCAAAGAAGACACAUUUGCUUUUUAUGCACACAUCACUUCCAGUCACUAUGUUGAGCAGAGUCAGUGUGAGGACAAUUGAGAAUAGCAGUUUUCUGGCAGGACAGCCACUUCUCAGCAGAAGAUGACACAAUAAAAGUAUAAAUCUUUCAUGGGAGGCUCACAUAUUUUCAGCAAAUUAAGCAUAUGCAUGAAUAAAAUUCUUGUGGUAAAAUAAAG
rnacentral:lncRNA from 1 species